CACGUAGGGGGCGAGCGUUGUCCGGAUUUAUUGGGCGUAAAGAGCUCGUAGGCGGUUUCGUAAGUCGGAUGUGAAAACUCCAGGCUCAACUUGGAGACGCCAUUCGAUACUGCGAUGACUUGAGUACGGUAGAGGGGGAUGGAAUUCCGCGUGUAGCAGUGAAAUGCGUAGAUAUGCGGAGGAACACCGAUGGCGAGGGCAGCCCCCUGGGCUAACACUGACGCUGAUGCACGAAAGCGUGGGGAGCAAACAGG
rnacentral:rRNA from 1 species